CGGACGGGUGAGUAACACGUGGAUAACCUACCUAUAAGACUGGGAUAACUUCGGGAAACCGGAGCUAAUACCGGAUAGUAUAUUGAACCGCAUGGUUCAAUGGUGAAAGACGGUUUUGCUGUCACUUAUAGAUGGAUCCGCGCCGCAUUAGCUAGUUGGUAAGGUAACGGCUUACCAAGGCAACGAUGCGUAGCCGACCUGAGAGGGUGAUCGGCCACACUGGAACUGAGACACGGUCCAGACUCCUACGGGAGGCAGCAGAC
rnacentral:rRNA from 1 species